rnacentral:SRP_RNA from 1 species
GCUGGGCGUGGUGGCGCACGCCUGUAAUCCCAGCUACUUAGGAAGCUGAGGUAGGAGAAUCGUUUGAACCCAGGAAGCAGAGGUUGCAGUGAGCCAAGAUCGUGCCACUCCACUCCAGCCUGGGUGAUUGAGUGAGACUCCAUCUCCC